GACACUUUGGCCGAGUGGUUUAAGGCGCAGGCCUGCUAUUCAGCCCUCCUCUAUCCGGAGUAUCGCUAUAGUAUAGCCUGUGGGUUCGCCCGCCUGGGUUCGAGUCCCAGAGGUGUCG